rnacentral:rRNA from 1 species
AGCCUGAACGCUGGCGGCGUGGCUAAGACAUGCAAGUCGUACGGAUGUAGCAAUACAUCAGUGGCGAACGGGAGAGUAAUAAAUCGCUAAUGUACCCCGGACUCUGGGAUAGCUACCCGAAAGGGUAGGUAAUACCAGAUGAUAUAACCUUAUCGCAUGAUAAGGUUCUCAAAGGUCCGCCGGUCUGGGAGCAGGCGAUUCCGUAUCAGCUAGUUGGUGAGGUAACGGCUCACCAAGGCGAUGACGCGUAGCCGGACUGAGAGGUUGGCCGGCCUCAUUGGGACUGAGACACUGCCCAGACUCCUACGGGGGGCUGCAGUAACGAAUCUUCCGCAAUGCACGAAAGUGUGACGGAGCGACGCCGCGUGUGGGACGAAGCCCUUCGGGGUGUAAACCACUGUCAGGGGAUAGAAAGUUCUGAUCAUCCCAGAGGAAGGCACGGCUAACUCUGUGCCAGCAGCCACGGUA